rnacentral:SRP_RNA from 2 species
GCUGACUCCUCGUGUGGCGUCAUCUUGGCUAAUCCCCCAGGAUCGAAAGAUAGCAAGGGUAACUGGGCUCUGGCGGGUGCACGAGGGGUCCUUUUU